rnacentral:lncRNA from 1 species
GGCCGUAUAGGGCUUUAAAGGUUAAAACCAGCACCUUAAACCUGAUCCUGUACUCCACCGGGAGCCAGUGCAGCUGGUAUAGUACCAGAUGAAUGUGAUCUCGCAGCGAAGACCCCAUAAGGAGUCUCGCCGCGGCAUUCUGCACCCGCUGGAGUUUCUGGGUCAGUCUCAAGGGCAGCCCCACGUAGAGCGAGUUACAAUAAUCCAGUCUGGAGGUGACCGUCGCGUGGAUAACAGUGGCUAGGUCAGGGCGAGAGAGAUAAGGGGCCAACUGCUUAGCUUGGCGGAGAUGAAAAAAUGCCGCCUUUGUUAUAGCUGUAAUCUGCGCCUCCAUAGAGAGGGAGGUAUCGAAGAUUACACCCAAACUCUUAACGGACGGUGCUGGCACUAAUUGCACCCCCGCAAGAGAUGGGAGUUGCCCCCCCAAUCCCAUAUCGUCCCGUCCCAGCCAGAGGACCUCUGUCUUCGAAGGAUUUAACUUCAAUCGGCUUCCACGUAACCAUCCAGCCACAGCUUCCAAACAUCUGGUCAGUGUGUCUGGGGCUGAGUCAGGAUGACCAUCCAUCAACAGAUAGAGUUGGGUGUCAUCGGCAUACUGAUGGCAACCCAGCCCAAAACUCCGGACAAGCUGGGCGAGGGGGCGCAUAAAGAUGUUAAAAAGCAUCGGGGAGAGUAUCGCACCCUGAGGCACUCCACACACCAAGGAGUGGCGGGAUGACAAUUCCCCCCCAAGCGCCACCCUCUGUCUCCGACCGGAGAGAAACGAGCACAGCCAUUGAAGGACUGUGCCCUGGAUCCCCACGUCGGCAAGGCGGUGGUCCAGGAGUUCGUGAUCAACCAUGUCGAAGGCUGCUGACAGGUCUAGAAGAAUCAGCAGCCCCGACCCGCCUCGAUCCAGCUGCCUGCGGAGAUCAUCUGUUAGGGCGACCAGAGCCGUCUCGGUCCCAUGACCAGCGCGGAAGCCAGACUGGAAUGGAUCCAGAGCCGAUGUUUCAUCCAGAAACCUACCAAGCUGUUCAGCAACCGCUCUCUCAAUCACCUCACCCAGGAAUGGAAGAUUCGAAACCGGGCGGUAAUUGGAUAGAUCUAAGGGAUCUAAUGACGUUUUCUUUAAGAGCGGGCGCACCACUGCCUCCUUCAAUUCCCCUGGAAAUAUCCCGGUGCCAAGGGACAAAUUGAUGAUAUCCCCCAGGGGGGCCCGCACCUUGUCUGGACACGCUCUAAUCAGCCAAGACGGGCACGGGUCAAGGGGACAGGUGGUGGGCUUUCCAGCUCGGAGGAGUCUGUCCACAUCGGCUGGGGAUAUCCGAUCAAAGUGGUCCAAUACUGGACCCGAGGACAGUCGAGGGGCCUCCAGUUCCUUUAUUGUAUCCAAAUUGGCAGGGAGGUCAUGCCAUAAAAAACUUCCCUAAACAGUGCUGCCUUCAGAUGUCUUCUAAAAGUCAGGUAGUUGUUUCUUUCCUUGACAUCUGAUGGGAGGGCAUUCCACAGGGCGGGCACCACUACCGAGAAAGCCCUCUGCCUGGUUCCCUGUAACCUCACUUCUCACAGUGAGGGAACUGCCAGAAGGCCCUCAGAGCUGGACUUCCUUUCUGGGCUGAAUGAUGGGGUUGGAGACACUCCUUCAGGGCUUUAAAGGUCAGCACCAACACUUUGAAUUGUGCUUGGAAAAGUCCUGGGAGCCAAUGUAGGUCUUUCAGGACCGGUGUUAUAUGGUCUCGGUGGCCACUCCCAGUCACCAGUCUAGCAGCCGCAUUCUGGAUUAGUUGUAGUUUCCGGGUCACCUUCAAAGGUAGCCCCACGUAGAGCGCAUUGCAGUAGUCCAAGCGGUAGUCCAAGCAUGCACCACUCUGAUGAGACAGUCUGCGGGCAGAUAGGGUCUCAGCCUGCGUUCCAGAUGGAGCUGGUAGACAGCUGCCCUGGACACAGAAAAGAGUGGUUUUGACAGAUUAUCAUAGAAUUGUAGAAUCGUAGAGUUGGAAGGGAUUCCCAAAGGUAAUCUAAUCCAAUGCCCUGCAAUGCAGGAAUCUCAGCUAAAGCAUCCAUGACAAGUGGCCAUCCAACCUAUGCUGUAAAAAGCUCCAAGGAAGAAGAGUCCACAACCUCCUGAGGGGGACCAUUCCACUGUCAAAAAAAGCUCUUGCUGUCAGAAAGUUCUUCCUGGUGUUAAGUCGGAAUCUCCUUUCUUGUAACUUACCCAGCUCCUUCAACUGUUCCUCAUAAGACUUGGAUUCCCUGCCCCAAGUUGUGAACAAGUCCAAAAUAGACAGAGGAAAUAGAGGCAGGAGUAGAUGACGAAGAAUAUGGGUGAUAGCCAAUGUUUCUCAGGCUCAGAGUAGGUCCAUUGGUCUCAGUGGAUCUAUUCCAAGGGUGACUUUUGCUGGAGAUCACCUACAGUUGAUUUUCCUCCACUAUCAUUCCCAUAGUCCCUAAGGUAGGUUUUGAGGAGGUGUUUAAAGGAAAUAAGUGGCUUCAGAGAGAUAUGUUGGCAGGAGUUCCAGGCAUAAGGGACUGCAAGGGAGAAAGAAUGAAAUUGUUUCAGGGAACAGGAGGCCUUCAGGCAGUUGAAGUUGAUGGAGCUGGACAUGUACAGUAGUUUGCCAUGCGCUUAAUGGCAGACACAGGGAAAGAGCCAUUAGUCAGGGAUGGAAUACAUGAAUUAUAGACAGAAGUCCACAGGUUCAAACCCUGGCAGCAAGACAUCACUCCUGUCUGCAGAGACAAGAGUGACCUAGAUGGACCCAGUCAGAGGCAGAUAUGGGGGGACACAACUGGUUCAGUCACACUGGGCACAGAACCUCAGCAGCGCCACAAGGGAUGUCACAACUAUGAUGCAGAAUGGUAGGUGAAAGGUGGGGGAGCACCCAAUGUUGGUGUUGUACAGAGCACUGCUGAAAUUUGAGACUCCAAGGUCCACCACUGUCCCAAUAGGUCUGAUUUGGUAUAAGCCAGCUUCCUAUUUUAUAUCUUUAUUAAUUUAAAAUAAAUACAUUUACGAAAAAUAGAUGUACAUACAAGUAAACAAACAUACAAUC